rnacentral:ncRNA from 2 species
UAGGGUGGCCCUGCGACUGGUUCGCCCUGUCAGCCAGGCAGGGUGUCGUAAGAGGGAACCCGGUGGGAAUCCGGGACUGCCCCGCAGCGGUGAGUGGGAACGACCGCCGUCAUACGCACUGGACCCGGCCGGGUCUGGGAAGCGACGGCCAUUAGGUGUCUCGUAACCGAUACGAGAUGAGCCCGCGAGUCCGAAGACCUGCCCGUUGACCGCGCGCGAC